ACUGUUGAAACCUAACAUAAAAAUAUCAUUAACACGGUUGAAACCUAACAUAAAAAUACCAUAACCAAAAUCAUCAAUUGAAAAUGGCAAAUCUAACUUGAUCCCAUUAUCGAACCGCUCACUUUCAUUAGAGAACAAAUAAAAUGAGCAAUCACGAUAUUGUUCAGGUGGCGCAGGCGGAUCAACAUUAUUGAGUAGGAGAAAGGUAUCGUCGGAAUCAAAAUCGUUAUUAUUGGAUAAGAAAUAGUUGCAGAACAUUUUCAUGAAAUUAUGGUUUUCAAAUAAAAUUGACCAUGAUUUGUUUAUGCAUAUUCAAAACGCUUCAUAGAUUUGAGAGGUAGUUUUGAUAGAAUGAAG
rnacentral:lncRNA from 1 species